rnacentral:rRNA from 1 species
GACGAACGCUGGCGGCGUGCUUAACACAUGCAAGUCGAGCGGUAAGGCCCUUUCGGGGGUACGACGAGCGGCGAACGGGUGAGUAACACGUGGGUGACCUGCCCUCAGCUCUGGGAUAAGCCUGGGAAACUGGGUCUAAUACCGGAUAUGACUCCAUGACGCAUGUUGUGGGGUGGAAAGCCUUGUGCGGCUGAGGAUGGGCCCGCGGCCUAUCAGCUUGUUGGUGGGGUGAUGGCCUACCAAGGCGACGACGGGUAGCCGGCCUGAGAGGGCGACCGGCCACACUGGGACUGAGACACGGCCCAGACUCCUACGGGAGGCAGCAGUGGGGAAUCUUGCGCAAUGGGCGAAAGCCUGACGCAGCGACGCCGCGUGAGGGAUGAC